CCAUCGUGACACUUUGCACUGUUGUUAUAGCCUACGACAAAGGGAAGUGCGAUGCUCCUCCUACCGAGACAGGGGUUUGCAAGGCCGGUUUUCUCAGAAGAUCAAAGCGCAACGGAAAUAAGACGGUAUAACAUGGACUCCAAACUCAUUCUAAUUUUCUUGGCUAUCGUGACACUUUGCACAGUUGUUAUAGCCUACGACACAGCGAAGUGCGAUGCUCCCCCUAGCGAAGAAGGUGUUUGCAGGGCCUAUAUACCAAGCUGGGUCUAUAAAGAAAAAAAAUGUCAGCAAAUUAUAUAUGGCGGAUGCGAUGCCACAGCCAACAUAUUUAGUACAAUAGAAGCAUGCAAGACAGCUUGCCAAAACUAACACUUAACGAAAAUAAAAAGGAAUCAAAAUACAAAAAUUAACAACAAAACUUGUAAAAAUAAAUCAGAUUUCUAACCGAAGAAAA